UCAAUGCUCGAAAGAGUGAACUAGCUAACUGAAAUCUUUAAUGUGUCAUUAAAGAUAACGUAAGGUGAAAAUAAUGAUAACAACUUACUAUUAGUGUCGUCCAAGUGCUCGUGCCAGAAGACUCGGUAAGGCGAGAGACGCAAACGUUAGUCGUCUUGAUCAGGCGUAAAGGGUGUGUAGGCUGCUUUAAGAAUCUAAUUCUCGAUUUACUGUUUAAAUAUGUUAAAUUUUUAAAUUUAACUUAAUUUUCAAUGAUAAAUUCUAUUGUUUAUUUAUUUAUUUUAUAUUUAUAUGAAAUAAAGUUUAUAUCCAAAAACAAUUGUACCUCUAAUCUUUAAUACGGAGGUUGAGUUAAUAAUUUCUCAUUUUAAAUUUACUCUUUUUUUUAAUAAAAAAGGGGAGAAAAGGAUCAAUUAAAGCUAGAAUCUAGCAGAGGUUAAAACAAUACUUAAGGUAGGGGUACUAACUGUAGAUAUUAAGCAGAGUAUUUAGGGCGAAGGCAUUUAUCCAAUGAAGAUUGACGCUGAGAAACGAAGGUGAGGGCAGAAAAAAGGAUUAGAGACCCUUGUAUUCCUCACUGUCAACGAUGAAUGGUAGUUACUAGUUUGAAUAAAUUAGAGACGAUGUUAACACGAAAACCAUUCCGCCUUGUGAGUACGACUGCAAAGUUGAAAACAAAAAAAUUAGUCGGUUUCGGAGCAAACGAAGUGAAGCAUGUUAUUUA
rnacentral:rRNA from 1 species